CUGGUCCUAUUUAAAGGCUAAAGAUUAUUCAUUUUGUACUGAUUGGAUGCCACAUGGCAACUAUAAUGCCACUCUUUGCCUUUAACUGUUUAUUAUAUAUCACUAGAUUGUCUGGUCCUAAAGGGUUCCAAAAGUAGUUUUCAUUUAUUUUCAAGGCUUAAAUUGAUUUAAUUGACUUUAUUUUUAUUCUAAAUGUUUGUUUUUGAUAAGUUUUGAGAAGUCCUCUUGAAUAUUUUUUUCAGUAGGUUUUUAUACGACCGCAAAAAAAUUUUGUGGUCGUAUAUUGGUAUGACGUUGGCGUCGUCGGCGUCGUCGUCCGAAGACAUUUUGGUUUUCGCACUCUAACUUUAGUUUAAGUGAAUGGAUCUCUAUGAAAUUUUACCAUAAGGUUCAAUACCACAAAAGGAAGGUGGGGAUUGAUUUUGGGGGUUAUGGUACCAACAGUUAAGGAAUUAGGGGCCAAAAAGGGGCCAAAAAUAAGCAUUUUUGUAACUUCCAGACAUAACUUGUGUGUUAGUGUAUGGAUCUCUCUGACAUUGUACCACAAGGUUCCAUAUCACAAAGGGAAUGCUGGGAUUGAUUUUGGGGGUAAUUGCCUCCAAAUUUUAGGAAUUAGGGGCCAAAAAGGGGCAAAAAACAAGCAUUUUUCUAGUUUCAUGACAAUAACUUGUGUGUAAGUGUAUGGAUCUUUAUGAAAUUUUACUACAAGGUUCCAUAUCACAAAGGGAAAGCUGGAAUUGAUUUUGGGGGUAAUUGCCCACAACGUUUAGGAAUAAGGGGCCAAAAAUAAGCAUUUUUCUAGUUUCCAGACAAUAACUUGUGUUCAAGUGUAUGGAUCUCUCUGAAAUUGUACUGCAAGGUACCAAACCACAAAGGGAAGGCUGGGAUUGAUUUUGGGGGUAAUUCCCUAGAAAUUUGAGGAAUUAGGGGCCAUAAAGGGGCAAAAAAACAAGCAUUUUUCUAGUUUCAGGACAAUAACUUGUGUGUAAGUGUAUGGAUCUUUAUGAAAUUGUACUGCAAGAUUCCAUAUCACAAAGGGAAAGCUGGGUUUGAGAUUGGGGGUAUUUGCCCUAAAUGUUUAGGAAUUUGGGGCCAAAAAACGCAUUUUUCUUGUUUCCAGACAAUAACUUGUGUUCAAGUGUAUGGAUCUCUCUGAAAUUGUACAGUUCAUACAUGUGAACCUCCCGACGGGAGUACAAUAAUCCCGUUUUCAGGGGUCUCCUCCCGACCUCCCGUUGAAGACAAAAAAAUCCCGUGUAUGAAAUAUUUCAUGAAUGAAAAAUUUCAGCCCAACAUAUCUGGUGUUACUGACAUUACUGAAGUUAUAUUUUACCUGUAAAUCAAUUAACAUGCAUAAUUAUAUGGCCUCACUUGUCACCUUGGGUGUCAAACAUACUGGUAAUAAACGAUUUUUACCUCA